CCUACGGGAGGCAGCAGUGAGGAAUAUUGGUCAAUGGGCGUAAGCCUGAACCAGCCAAGUCGCGUGAGGGAUGAAGGUUCUAUGGAUUGUAAACCUCUUUUAUAAGGGAAUAAAGUGCGGGACGUGUCCCGUUUUGUAUGUACCUUAUGAAUAAGGAUCGGCUAACUCCGUGCCAGCAGCCGCGGUAAUACGGAGGAUCCGAGCGUUAUCCGGAUUUAUUGGGUUUAAAGGGUGCGUAGGCGGCUUUUUAAGUCAGCGGUGAAAGUUUGUGGCUCAACCAUAGAAUUGCCGUUGAUACUGGGAGGCUUGAGUAUGUUUGAGGCAGGCGGAAUGCGUGGUGUAGCGGUGAAAUGCUUAGAUAUCACGCAGAACCCCGAUUGCGAAGGCAGCCUGCCAAGCCAUGACUGACGCUGAUGCACGAAAGCGUGGGGAUCAAACAGGAUUAGAUACCCUUGUAGUC
rnacentral:rRNA from 1 species